rnacentral:rRNA from 1 species
UACGGAGGGGGCUAGCGUUGUUCGGAAUUACUGGGCGUAAAGCGCACGUAGGCGGAUCAGUCAGUUAGAGGUGAAAGCCCAGGGCUCAACCCUGGAACUGCCUUUAAUACUGCUGGUCUGGAGUCCGAGAGAGGUGAGUGGAACUCCGAGUGUAGAGGUGAAAUUCGUAGAUAUUCGGAGGAACACCAGUGGCGAAGGCGGCUCACUGGCUCGGUACUGACGCUGAGGUGCGAAAGCGUGGGGAGCAAACAGG